rnacentral:rRNA from 1 species
CAGCCGCCGCGGGAAUACGUAGGGUGCAAGCGUUAUCCGGAAUUAUUGGGCGUAAAGAGCUCGUAGGCGGUUUGUCGCGUCUGCUGUGAAAACUGGAGGCUCAACCUCCAGCCUGCAGUGGGUACGGGCAGACUAGAGUGCGGUAGGGGAGAUUGGAAUUCCUGGUGUAGCGGUGGAAUGCGCAGAUAUCAGGAGGAACACCGAUGGCGAAGGCAGAUCUCUGGGCCGUAACUGACGCUGAGGAGCAAAAGCGUGGGGAGCGAACAGGAUUAGAUACCCCUGUAGUCCCUGUCUCUUAUAC